rnacentral:rRNA from 1 species
CACGUAGGGCGCGAGCGUUGUCCGGAAUUAUUGGGCGUAAAGAGCUCGUAGGCGGCCUGUUGCGUCCGCUGUGAAAGCCCGGGGCUUAACCCCGGGUCGGCAGUGGAUACGGGCAGGCUAGAGGUAGGUAGGGGAGAGCGGAACUCCUGGUGUAGCGGUGGAAUGCGCAGAUAUCAGGAAGAACACCGGUGGCGAAGGCGGCUCUCUGGGCCUUACCUGACGCUGAGGAGCGAAAGCGUGGGUAGCGAACAGG